rnacentral:rRNA from 1 species
GACGAACGCUGGCGGCGUGCCUAAUACAUGCAAGUAGAACGCUGAAGUCUGGUGCUUGCACUAGACGGAUGAGUUGCGAGCGGGUGAGUAACGCGUAGGUAACCUGCCUCAUAGCGGGGGAUAACUAUUGGAAACGAUAGCUAAUACCGCAUAACAGUAUUUACCGCAUGGUAGAUGCUUGAAAGGAGCAAUUGCUUCACUAUGAGAUGGACCUGCGUUGUAUUAGCUAGUUGGUGAGGUAACGGCUCACCAAGGCAUCGAUACAUAGCCGAGUUGAGAGACUGAUCGGCCACAAUGGAACUGAGACACGGUCCAU